AAAUCUUAAAAGAGGCAGAAACUGCAUAUUCAUCACCAGCUGCCCCAGGUUAGAUGCCUCUGUGCAGGGCACAAAUCACACAGCUUUACCCAGCGUCCUGUGAGCCUCAAAACCACAGGCACAUGAUUAUGCUGAACUGCUCUCAGAGGGAGGCUUGAUGGAGCCAUGAAGAAGAGGUAGAAACAAAAUAGCAGACAGGAAAAAGUAUCUGCAGCAAAGAAACAGCAUGGGUGAAGUCCUGCAGAAAGGCAGUUGGACCAAGGCAAGAUGACCUGCAGAAACUCUGCCAGUGAUAAAACGGAUGCAUCUCUCAACUGACAAAAUAACCACAAAAUCUCUGCUUUUCGUGCCUGUGCCCAGUGUUUGAGGAUGAUGGAAAUCACAGAGAUAAAACACCUAAUACAUUCAUCUGUUUGCAGAAAAGGUUGCAUCUAAUUAGUAGGUAUAAUGUUAAUUCUGACAUAAAUUACAGAAUAAAAUAAUGGACAUGAACAUAAUACAAAAAUGCUAAGGCUGAACAAAUAAAAGAUUAAGAAAAUUUCAAGAUAAAAGGAGGGUUUAGCAAAAGAUACAAAAUGAACAUCUGAACUGGAUUAUUUUUAACCUCUGACUAUUCUAACACAUGUCCUGUAUCUGUGGGUAAUGCUUAGACAGCUUAUUAGAAAUUUAGCAAUUUAUAUAAAUGUCUUAUUUGUUACUGACACAAAUAAAAAUAUAUGCUUAUAUUUGUAUAAUAUUAAGUGAAUGGGAUUAAAAAUAUAUCUUGAAUACCGUCA
rnacentral:lncRNA from 1 species